rnacentral:rRNA from 1 species
GACGAACGCUGGCGGCGUGCUUAACACAUGCAAGUCGAACGGAAAGGCCCUGCUUUUGUUGGGUGCUCGAGUGGCGAACGGGUGAGUAACACGUGAGUAACCUGCCCUUGACUUUGGGAUAACUUCAGGAAACUGGGGCUAAUAUCGGAUAGGAGCUCCUGCUGCAUGGUGGGGGUUGGAAAGUUUCGGCGGUUGGGGAUGGACUCGCGGCUUAUCAGCUUGUUAGUGUGGUAGUUGCUUACGAAGGGUUUGACGGGUAGCCGGCAUGAGAGGGUGAACGGGCACAUGGGGACUAAGAGAGGCAGCAGAAGGGUACGGGAGGCAGUAGGCGAGAACAUGACAGAGCAAGCGGACGCCUGUGGCAGCAGUGCUGGGUGCGGGAAGACGGGUUAUGGGGUGUAAACCGCUUUGGACUGUGACGAGGCGUGAGUGACGGUAAUGGGUAAAGAAGCACCGGCUAACUACGUG